GUAAAUACAUUCCUACUCACCUGUCUGCUGAUGUUGGAAAGGCACCUUUCUUUCCCAUCUCUUUCAAGCCACGCAAUGAAACUCCCUGAGCUCCCUGUGUUCCCUGGGAGAGGCUCCGUGCCUGGACACGCUGAGCAGGGCUGAGUUAGUCCAGCUGGAGAUCUGUCCCCAAGCUGGAAUGUCCACUGAAGUAUUGCAGAAUGGGAAUGAAGUCGUUUACCAGCAGAAAAUAAUACACAAUGGCUCCUUAUAAUCCGCCUGUUCGUUGGGAAAGCAGGGAUCUCCAGGGAGGGAAGGACUCCUUGCUACUUUUUGCACACCCUAUUUUAAAUUGAAGUCUUUAAUUCAGCUUUUCUGUAGCCUGACAACUGUUCCUCACAGGAGGAAGGACCUUGGAUAAAGGGAAUUUGCUCUGCCUUGCUCAGUGAGGCCACCUCGGAGCACUGGUGCUCGAUUUCAAAUCUGUGCCUCCGCCGGUUUUGACACUGUGCAAUGAAGCAUCCGAGCUCUCAGAUGUCUGGCUCUUCCGAGUUGUGAAAUGAGAAAACAAACAAACCCAGCCAUUCCAGCCCUGUCAAUCUACUUCUCAGUGGACAGAUGCCCUGGUGCCAGAAAAGCUUCAGCCUAUGAUCCCACACCUCUUGGCAGUGCCAAAAAAAAGCCGGAGAUCUACUGGACGCAAAAGUGCGGCGGUUCCUCACCUCGAAGAAAUGGUGUUUGUGGCCACGCUGGAGCUCCUGGGCUAAGAAUUUGCCAAGGGCAUCAACAGCAGUUUUCCCAGGCUCCAGCACAAGGAUUUAGUCAAUCCACUGAUGACUCAAAUCUUUGAAGAAAAGGACAUGGUUAUCAGAGAAGCUUUGACGACAGAAAGGACGGGAGUGCUAUCUGCCUUUUUCCAUCAGAGAUUCCCAUUCCCUCUCAUUAACAUACUCAGGACAUCAGCACAGCCAUCGGGCCCGAGGGAAUCGCUUCCAACUUUUAAGGGAAUAUGCGCAAGACCUCAGCCCUGCGUUGUUUCAAACAGAUCAAACCAGAUUUGCCACGUGUAAGGGUUCUUCAGUCCCACGGAAGAUGUGAUGUCUGUGAAAGCUGCUGCUGCAGUAAGUGGAAAAGGGAGAUGCCUCUACCUGCUCUCUCCCAGUGCCCUGUAAUGAAAAAUGCUUUUGGAGCAACACUGGAAAUAAGCCAUCAAAAUAUCUGAUUAAACCUCUUAGGAAACUCUCACUAAUCACCUUCUCUGCUCUUGAUGGAAUGUAUUUAUGCAUUAUAAAUAUACUUACUAGGUGUGUGUGCUCCAUAAAUCACACCCAGCACUUGUAUAUGAUGUAUAAGCACAUUCUAUAGAACACACACAAAUACAGAUGCCAAACUCCCACAGAGUUCAUCACUGGAAAAUGUUUGAAGGAUCUGAUCCUUAAUAUUUAAUGAGCAAGAUGCUAUUUCCUUCCUCAGCUUUUAUCUCUGGUUUGGCAUAGUCAUUAAAUUUGUUGUUUCCUUGCAAGAUUAUAUAAUUUAUGACCUAAUUUUAGACUUUUGUGUAACCGCGUUGAAACACUCGUGGCGUAUCCCGAUUUCCUCACACGGAGUGCUCCAGCAUUUGACACCAGCUCCAACACGGCUUCUGUGAGCUGCCCGUCAGCAAGGAGUCACAGGCAUGAAAGGAAAAGAGCCCACCAACAUUCAGGCAGCAUUAUAGGAUUAGUUUGGGGCAUUUUUUGCCCUGUAAAAAAUAUGAUUUAGCAGCAUUUCCAAAGCCGUCUGCGGUGCUGGCAGGAAUCCCCAGGUAAGACAGGCAGCACCCAGCAACUCCUGUUCCUGAAAACAUUUCAUGCAGCUGUUCUGGAUUUCAGACUGCUCUGGGACAGCUACCUUCGGUGCAGGGAGGGGUGUUUGGAGGUGGGGAAGCAGGGGAAGGAGUCACUCCGUGCUUUAAAGCCACUGCCAGCCCUUCACCCUCUGGAAUUUCCUCCCAGCACCAGCCUGGCUGCUGGGCUGACUUUUUGCUGCACAAGGUGCUGCCAGAUAACUCCAAAAUUAAUCAUUCUAAAGCUGCAGCCACAGUUUUUUGGUGUUUUCUGUGUGUCCAGAGUAAUUCAGAGAUGCUGUAAAGAGUGCCAUGAGCUUCAGCUAUUUUGUCAAUUUAAACUGUGUAGUUGGGACCAGUCUUUCAUCAAAUUUAGUGUAUUGGCUCUUGCAUUAAUGCACUCAGAGCAUUUUAUCCUGGUGUUCCAUAGGGAACUAGCUUGUGGUUUUGGAAAGACUCUAGGUUUCCUUUGUGCUUGCAGUGCUGUUUGGAGGAGUUUUCCUCUUUUUCCACCUUAUCCUGAAUAUCCAGCAGGGAUGGCAGAGUUGGGGUGCUGCAUCCUCAGAUCAGCAGCAGGAGCACAGGGACCAUGUCCACGCAGCCCAGCACACCCCUCUAACACAACAACUUCACGUACAGGGCGAGGGGGGUGCCUACAUGAAAAAAAAGCAUCCUUAUAAAAAGGGGACAUUAAUUCUUGGAUUAAGAAAAAUUGGAGAGUUUGUCUCCUUGGCUUUAAUGGAGCUGUUCCAGGAAAGCAGCAGAGAACAAAGUGUUUUCAGUAUCACAUAAUUCAAGAGUAAAAUCAUAAUUCCAAUUACCAUUGCAGCCACUUCUGGCCUUGGGAAACCUAUGCUAAUAUUUAUUAUUAUAUGAUUGACCUCUGAUUUCUUCAUCAUUUAUAUUAGCAACCCUGAUAUUCUUAGUAACAUCCUUUAAAUCAUAGAAGCAGGUGUCAACAGUGCACGAUGAAGUCACAUGCUGCAGAUUUUUUAUUUACUUAGCCCAUUUUUUUUUUUUUUUCUGCUUAAAUAACAUUGUGAGAUGCAGAAUCUCACCUCCACAGGGCCUUGAGGGGUGUAUGUAAUCAUGGAAUGCAUUUCCUAUAAUCUCACAAAAUGACUCAAUCCUAUCAGAGGUACAAAUAGUUUUACAAAGUCAGUAUUUCACUCCCAUCACCACCUGACAUCAUCUUCCACACUGCACAAGAAAAUAUUUACUUGGCUCUUUGACAUGAAUUGCCACAAAGCCUUUGGAACAAAAACCAAGAAGUGAGAAUUAAAAUGGAAUAAUUUGACUUAAUGAAUUUAGCCUCUUUUAUAUGUGCUGGAUUUAGAUGUCAGAUGAUUUCUUAUAACAUUUGGGAUGGACAUGGACACCUCCAAUCCCUGUUCUCCAGAGAGAUGCCUACGCAAGGAUCACAGAGUUUCCCAGAAUAUCCAAAGCUGGAAGCUGAUCCUCUUCUCCAUCAUCUCAAUAUUUUCUUUGCAUAAGUGAGCAUUUCUCUGGAUGAAUUAAGACACUGCAUUUGUUUUCCAGGUACAGGUGAGGUGCCAAGGGCAGCCUGGGGCUUCUCACUGCCUUCAGCAGAGUUGGUAAAAUUGUAUUUAUCCACAACGAGACUGAUUUUUUUUUCAGAUUGUUCUGAAGAUGUGUCAAAAAGUUUAAAUUCUCUGUCUCCCAUAUCCCCUGCUCAUCUUCCUGCCUUGGUGCCGCUCCUGCUGUUGUUCACUUCCAGAGAGCACAGCCAGGGGCUUUUCAGCAUCUCCUCGGGAAAUGUUCCCCAUCUGUGGAGCUGGGUAAAAUGGCACCCACCUGGAGAGGGCUGUCCUUGAUCAUCCUUGUCUCUCAUCCAUCAUUUUUUUACUGAAAUUAGAUUCUUCUGAACUUACAUUGCUUUAAAGGGUUUACCUGGCUCAGCAGGUGACAGUUUGGGGAUGUUUCAGAUAGAUUUUGCAUCAUUUGGGACAAAUUUUUAAGGUUUGUGAGCCUUAUCCAGUUGUCAGGCAGGUGGGUCCUCUUCCCCUCUCUGUGCAUGUAGCCCUAAAAACACCCUCUGAUUUCUGGAUGUCAGAGGGGGAAAAGGGUCAGAACAGUCCCAGAUCCCGUUCCUGAGAGCUGUCAGUGUGUAAUAGCCAUUAGCAGCUUCUGUAGUGACACAGGUUACUGCCACGGGACCAAACACCUGCAGGGAAGCUCCUCAGGCGAAAUUCCCCUCGGCUCCAAUCAGGUUUUCUCCGGAGCAGGGACCGCUGGCUGCGCUCAGGGCGCCUGCUCCUGGCUGAAGAGGCACUUCUAAUCGACUGCUAAGAGACUUAUUAGCAAUGUAAAAAGGAAUUGGAGGCAAGGAAAGGAUUCUUCCUGGCAGAAAUGUGCUUUGUAAAAUUAGUUUUUCUGACAGGAGUAAUUGGGUUAAACUCCUCGUGACUGUGGGUGUUAUGUGUUGCCUCUUAUUUUACCCAAGCAAAGGGCACCAAACACUUUGAACUUUGUAAAUAAUUGUUUCCAAAGUGUCGGGUUGGUUUUUUUUUUUCCCUUCUCUAUAAAUUCUUCAGAGAAAAGCUGAUUUCUAAUCCUUAUUCCGCCAAUGACAAACAGCCUUUUCCCACUCUAGAUAUAUUUUCUUUCCCCUCUUUGGAUUUUAAUAUUUCUUAGAUAUUAUAAAAAUCUUUUUUAAGGGGGAGUGCAGAGCUUUUGCUCAGAUUGGGAAAAUCAUUCCUAGAGCUUUAAGAAACUGGAGAAAGAAAGAGAGAAAACAUCAAAUAGAAGAACUUUAUUGUGCACUGUGGCAGGUGUUGGGCCGUGGUGUGGAGAUGUGUGUCCAGAGCCUGACCUGUGUCCAGAGCAGGCUGCUGGACUUCACUCUGGCUUUUCCUCACUCCAGAUUCCUGGAGAGUGAAGGGGUUGGCCCUUUGUUGGUUGUUCAUUCCUUCUGGGCUGAAGCAGAGCCGGGAUUUGCUCCUCCCUCCCCAACCGCAUCCUGGCAUUGCUCUGCCACUCGUGUGCUGAGGAGAGGGGCAUUUUUUUCUUGCAAACACCUUUUUUUUCUCAGUUUUAUUUCACUUUUUCAUGCACAGUAACAAAUGUUAAUGCAGAAACAGGACAGAAACUGUCCCAGAUUGUGCAGUGUCAGAGCCUGCAGGAAACCCAUAAACCUGCAUAAACCCAGGCCAACCCAUGGAUGUGGGAAAACUGAAGUGCUGAAAAAGCAAGACAUUAUAUUCUCCAUUUGUUGUUGUAUAAGUUGUAUAUGAAUUCUUUUAGUUAUCUGCUAUUUAUUUCUUCACCUUUUUUUGGCAAAAGUCACAAAUAAUGAGAAAUACCUCACUGGAGCUUGGGCUCUCCAGUGUGGGGGAAGUAAUCGCUGAGGAGCUCAGCUGGAACAUUUCCUUUUUGUCUUCAUGUAGUGGCUCAGGUCUUCCUCAAUGGUAGGAGGCUCCCACCAAGACUGAUCUUCCCUCCUUCUCCUCCUCAAGAGCCAGGGGUUUCAGGUCUUGGAUGCCACCAGCAGAUCUCCAGCUCCUGUAAAGCCAGAAGAGCUCUCCAUAUUUCCUUCCCGGAUGCCUUUUUCUCCUCUGCUUACAACUAUAAAAGCAGCUUUUCAUGCUCCAAAUCAGAGAUAAAUGGAAAUUGCUGCUGAAGAAAUAAAACACAAGGCCAAUCAAAUCGUGACACAGGAAGCAGCCUUCAGCCAGUGCAUUUUUGAGAGCUAUUUUUAGACUAUAUUUUUAUUUUGUGACUCCAUAUGGGAAGUCAAACCCAUAUGGUUUGGGAGAAUGGAAGGUUGUACUUUUAUAGUGAUUUUGCAAACUAUCCCAGCUCAGCUUUGUCCUUAAACUCGUGCUUAAAUCCAAUUGUCGGAGGUGGGACUGGAGCACAUCAACUGCUCCUGAGGUUGUACCAGCACAAUUCCCUCCUGAGGUACAAAAUUAUUCUACAUUUGUUAAAUCAGUCUCCAGUUAACUCGGCUCUCCUUAAUUACAACUUUUCUCAUCCUUACACCUGCCUUUUGUCCUUUUUCUUUUUAAUAUGUUCAUCUCUUCUCCAAUGUUCUGAUGCCCUGAUGGAUGUGUUUGGUCCAGUACCAGCCAGGAUGCAAAGCUGAGCAUCCACGGCCAUCAUGCUCCUGCUCUUCACAGUAGAUGUUGCUGUCUUCCAAAUACCCAGAUUAAUGUGAUUUUGAGGAAUAAGACUUUAUUCUGCCCACAACACCAUGGCAAAUUCUGAGUAUGCUGAUGAAGCAAUAAUUUGCCAGAAAAGGAAACAGUUCUCCCCUUUUUGAGGGGAUAAAGUGCAACGGGAAUAGGACUGCUCAGUGGAGAAUUCCUUGUGGCAGAAGGAUGGGCAGCAUGGAGAUUUCUGAGAUGGUUUGGAUGUCACCUCCAUCCAGUUGAAGGAAUGUAAUGCUAAAACUGGUCAUCAAAACCGAGACCUCACAGAUUGUUUUGUUGGACGGUCAAGAAAACAACCACCGAAUUUUUCCCCGGACCAGUGUUAGAGGAGACAAUGAGAAAACAACCUGGCCCCAAAAGAGGAAAAAGGGAAAACCUGCGAUUAGAGCAGAGAAAAAGUAUCAAAAUUUGUAAAAGAAAUCUGAUGAAGCCAUAUUUGUAUCCAAAAUCCAUGAUUGUUUUGAAAUCCAAGGAAGUACUGUUAAAUUAUUUGCUUGGAGGAGCUCUAUAGUCAGAAAACCCUCAUCACUUGUAUCCCACUUUAAUAAGUUUAUACCAUUCUGAAAUCCCAAAAGGCAGGAAAAACACCUGAAUUUACGAUGCUUGGGAGUGUUGGAAUUAGAUGCAAGAAGCUGGGUUUUCCCAGGAAUGUUAUGCUGGAAUAUUUGAGUAACACAAGUUCUAGCACAGGCGCUUGGGGGGUGAGGUGUGGGCACAGGAGCACUGGGAGGUGGACUCGUCACUGCUCUUCCUGGGCAUCCCUUGGCACAUUGGAGCAUCGUGAUCCCGGUAAAUCCAGCCAGGAAUCUGUCAGUGACUUCAGCAGAGCUGGAAUUCCAUCCCAGUGUGACACGGGCUGGUGACGUGGAGCGAUGUCAAGCCACUGAUGUAGAACUGGAAAAAUACCUCGUCACAUAACUGAUCCCACUGGGUUCCCAAAUUUCACUUGGGACUUUCUACCGAGUUUCCAUUCCCAUUGCAAAUACAUGGAUAACAUGUUAAGGCAUUAGCCUUAAAAAAGUAAAGAAAUCAUUUCUUUAAGAGAUGGGCAAUCUGUAGAAGACAUUUGUGUAAUUUUGCAUUCUAAAUGUGAUUUAUAUUUAUAAAUAAAUUUGCAUAAAAUCUCCA